GAUGAACGCUGGCGGCGUGCCUAAUACAUGCAAGUCGAGCGAACAGACGAGGAGCUUGCUCCUCUGACGUUAGCGGCGGACGGGUGAGUAACACGUGGAUAACCUACCUAUAAGACUGGGAUAACUUCGGGAAACCGGAGCUAAUACCGGAUAACAUGUUGAACCGCAUGGUUCAACAGUGAAAGACGGUCUUGCUGUCACUUAUAGAUGGAUCCGCGCCGCAUUAGCUAGUUGGUAAGGUAACGGCUUACCAAGGCAACGAUGCGUAGCCGACCUGAGAGGAUGAUCGGCCACACUGGAACUGAGACGCGGUCCAGACUCCUACGGGAGGCAGCAGUAGGGAAUCUUCCGCAAUGGGCGAAAUCCUGACGGAGCAACGCCGCGUGAGUGAAGAAGGUCUUCGGAUCGUAAAACUCUGUUAUUAGGGAAGAACAAAUGUGUAAGUAACUAUGCACGUCUUGACGGUACCUAAUCAGAAAGCCACGGCUAACUACGUG
rnacentral:rRNA from 1 species